rnacentral:rRNA from 1 species
AGAGUUUGAUCCUGGCUCAGGACGAACGCUGGCGGCGUGCUUAACACAUGCAAGUCGAACGAUGAAGCCCAGCUUGCUGGGUGGAUUAGUGGCGAACGGGUGAGUAACACGUGAGUAACCUGCCCUUGACUCUGGGAUAAGCGCUGGAAACGGCGUCUAAUACCGGAUACGACCUGCCCCGGCAUCGGGUGCGGGUGGAAAGUUUUUCGGUCAAGGAUGGACUCGCGGCCUAUCAGGUAGUUGGUGAGGUAAUGGCUCACCAAGCCGACGACGGGUAGCCGGCCUGAGAGGGUGACCGGCCACACUGGGACUGAGACACGGCCCAGACUCCUACGGGAGGCAGCAGUGGGGAAUAUUGCACAAUGGGCGAAAGCCUGAUGCAGCAACGCCGCGUGGGGGAUGACGGCCUUCGGGUUGUAAACCUCUUUUAGUAGGGAAGAAGGGCUUCGGCUUGACGGUACCUGCAGAAAAAGCACCGGCUAACUACGUGCCAGCAGCCGCGGUAAUACGUAGGGUGCAAGCGUUGUCCGGAAUUAUUGGGCGUAAAGAGCUCGUAGGCGGUUUGUCGCGUCUGCUGUGAAAACCCGAGGCUCAACCUCGGGCCUGCAGUGGGUACGGGCAGACUAGAGUGCGGUAGGGGAGAAUGGAAUUCCUGGUGUAGCGGUGGAAUGCGCAGAUAUCAGGAGGAACACCGAUGGCGAAGGCAGUUCUCUGGGCCGUUACUGACGCUGAGGAGCGAAAGCGUGGGGAGCGAACAGGAUUAGAUACCCUGGUAGUCCACGCCGUANACGUUGGGAACUAGAUGUGGGGACCUUUCCACGGUCUCCGUGUCGCAGCUAACGCAUUAAGUUCCCCGCCUGGGGAGUACGGCCGCAAGGCUAANACUCAAAGGAAUUGACGGGGGCCCGCACAAGCGGCGGANCAUGCGGAUUAAUUCGAUGCAACGCGAANAACCUUACCAAGGCUUGACAUAUACCGGAAACUUCCA